UCAGGAUGAACGCUAGCGGCAGGCUUAAUACAUGCAAGUCGUGGGGCAGCAUGAGUAGCAAUACUUGAUGGCGACCGGCAAACGGGUGAGGAACACGUACACUAACCUUCCUUCAAGCGGGGAAUAGCCCAGAGAAAUUUGGAUUAAUACCCCAUAAUAUAUUUGAUAAGGCAUCUUAUUAAUAUUAAAGCUUCGGCACUUGAUGAUGGGUGUGCGGCUGAUUAGAUAGUUGGCGGGGUAACGGCCCACCAAGUCUACGAUCAGUAGCUGAUGUGAGAGCAUGAUCAGCCACACGGGCACUGAGACACGGGCCCGACUCCUACGGGAGGCAGCAGUAAGGAAUAUUGGACAAUGGACGAAAGUCUGAUCCAGCCAUGCCGCGUGAAGGAUUAAGGUCCUCUGGAUUGUAAACUUCUUUUAUAUGGGACGAAAAAAGGGCAUUCUUGUUCACUUGACGGUACCAUAUGAAUAAGCACCGGCUAACUCCGUG
rnacentral:rRNA from 1 species